rnacentral:rRNA from 1 species
UACAGAGGUCUCAAGCGUUGUUCGGAUUCAUUGGGCGUAAAGGGUGCGUAGGUGGCGCCGUAAGUCAGGUGUGAAAUUUCGGAGCUUAACUCCGAAACUGCAUUUGAUACUGCGGUGCUUGAGGACUGGAGAGGAGACUGGAAUUCACGGUGUAGCAGUGAAAUGCGUAGAUAUCAGGAGGAACACCGGUGGCGAAGGCGGUUCUCUGGGCAUUACCUGACGCUGAGGAGCGAAAGUGUGGGGAGCGAACAGG